CUGAAUUGAGGCGUGAUGCGGCUAAACAGGGAGGGCAGAGAGUUGAUCGCUCGCUGUUAGAAAGAGACUUUUUCCAGGGACAGGCAAGGAGAACGAUACUCGUAGCCUGAAGGCAGGAGGAAGUUAUAGUAGCUGGCUGCAGAAGUUUCCGGUACUGCUGCUAACUUGCUUGCAUUCUCGUUGGAGACAAGUAAAAUAAGACUGAAAUGAAAAUCUUCGGGAUUGUAUCGAUUUGCUUAGUACUUUUGUUCCGUCUGACUGGACGAAUACUUAGCUCCGAAUAGUAUUCCAUCCCCAUCAUCUCUAACCACUUCUGCCCUCUCCCAGUAAAGCAGCCCUUUAAAUUUAAGUUCUGGACGGGUUUCGGGAAAGGAGGUGGCGGUGACUUUCUCACGUUAGUCGGAAGCGCUUUUUGCACUUCCCUCAAUACUCGGCACGGAGCGGUUACUAAAGCACACAAUCGACGUGCUUUUCCAGCUACACUUACAGGGGGUGAAUGAGUGGUCAGUGGAGAUGCAGAUAUUAGAUUAUAAUAAGCGCCGUAUUUCUAUGGCUUAUUUUGCAAAUGCGUCUAGCAUAGGUUAUGCGAUUUUUAUAUAUGUCAGUUAUAAAUUCGAAGAGCCUAUAUUUGCGUACGAAUAUCUACAACCCUUAGAACGUUUUCGGGAGUAAGCCAAUUCACGCGAAUGCAUGUAAUUUCUAAUAAACACAUACUGUAUUCUCGA